ensembl:lncRNA
ACGCUUACACAGUGUUGCACGCUGUAACACACCGUUGCACGCUGUUACACACGCUUACACAAUGUUGCACGCUGUAACACACCGUUGCACGCUGUUACACACGCUUACACAAUGUUGCACGCUGUAACACACCGUUGCACGCUGUUACACACGCUUACACAGUGUUGCACGCUGUAACACACCGUUGCACGCUGUUACACACGCUUACACAGUGUUGCACGCUGUAACACACCGUUGCACGCUGUUACACACGCUUACACAAUGUUGCAUGCUGUUGAUAUACAUGCUUAGGCACUUCAUAAAUGUGUGUAAUGGCGUGUAACAGUGUGUAACGGCGUGUAACGGUGUAUAAAUGUGUGUAACGGCGUGUAACAGCAUGUAACGGUGUGUAAAUGUGUGUAACGGUGUAUAAAUGUGUGUAACGGCGUGUAACAGUGUGUAGUGGUGUGUAAUGGCGUGUAACGGUGAAUAAAUGUGUGUAACGGCGUGUAACAGUGUGUAAAUGUGUGUAACGGCAUGUAACGGUGUAUAAAUGUGUGUAACGGCGUGUAACAGUGUGUAAUGGUGUGUAACGGCGUGUAACAGUGUGUAAUGGUGU